UUUCUGCGCUACAGCCUCGAUGUUUUCCACCUACACCGUUUUCAUUUUUUCUCCCUACCAACGUGUGUACGGUCGAUUCUGCGUCAGUGUUACUUUUUUUAGGGAAUCCUUUACGACAUAGUAUCACAAUAUCUUGUGAUACGUAUAUGCAGUUUUGAGGACUCAGCUGACAGCUCGCUCUGUUAAGCAGAAUACAAGCCGUUAUAACCGAAGAUUUUCUGAAAAGCAUACGCCCACAAAGUCCCCUUGAUGCAAAUCUCGGCCUCUGCAUUCAAGAAAAUGGAUUCUUCCGUAGUUGGAACUUCAAUGCGCGGAACCUUGUAUUUCUCCAAUGCGUUUCAAUUAACAAAUCUUGGAUUUCGUUAAAAAUGAUACUUCUCAGCAUUCUUUUAGUCAUCGACUUGACCUUUCACCUCUGUCUUUUGUCAUUUUCAUGUUUAUCGCGAACUUGGCCGUGUUUUGCAACACGAAACGAUAGAAAAAGAGCCUGUAAAAUGCAUACUGUACCUCUUCUACACGACAAUCCAGGAAAACAGAAUAAUCGAGAAGAUAUCUCGUUGAAUGAAUAUCGAUAAUCUCCAACGAGACAAGAGAUCCUCUUCAUGAGUUUGAUGCGCGUUCUUGGAACCCAAUUGAACACACCGUUGACGAUUCUAAUAAAAGAUGGGAAAACCACCAUGUUUUGAAUACUAAUCGAUCGAAUUAACUGUAUUUAAA